rnacentral:lncRNA from 1 species
UGUUGUGAGCUUUUCUCUAACAUUACUCUCUUUAAUCUUGUUGUAAUCCGAGAAUAAGUUGUUCUUGAUGAUAUAUUUGUUGUAGCCCUUAGUUGAAUCUGAGGAAGAACAAUUGUGAACCCAUUAUUUGUGAUAGUGGAAGUUUUUAGGUGGACUCCGGUCCCGUGGUUUUUCCCGCAUCGGGUUUUCCACGUAAAAAUCUUGGCGUUGAUUUGUGUGAUUGUUGCAUUAUAUUUGUUCAUUGUUUGAUUCUGUUUUUACUGCACAAAGAGGGAAAAAGGAUUGGGACUUGUGAAUUGUGAAUUGUAUUCCGCUGAAUUGAUCCGGUUAGUUGUCCCAAGUUUUCCCAACAAAGUGGUAUCAGAGCAUUUGGUUGUGUAGAUUGAAUUCUUGUGCAGUUAAAAUGGAAAAGGAAGAUUCAGGCAUGAUAAAGCUCACUUCCUCAAAUUAUUUUCUAUGGAAAACAAUGAUGGAAGAUCACUUAUAUUGCAAUGAUUUGGCUUUGCCGAUUGAAUGUAAAGGAAUAAAGCCUGAUGAUAUGGAUGAUGCAAAAUGGAAUGGACUAAAUAGAAAGGCUACCGCUAAUGUUAGAAAAUGGGUAUCUUCUAAGUCCAUUAAUCACAUUUCUCAAGAACAUGACUGCUAUACAGUGUGGAAGCUGUUGGAAGAAACCUUUGCCAAGGAGAGUGCACAAAACAAGGUUUUUGUAAUUAAAGACCUUGUGAAUUUGAAGUAUAGAGAUGGUGAAGAUGCUUCAGUGCAUAUAAAUGUAUUCCAAGGGUUCUUGAAUCAGCUGUCAUUGAUGAACCUUGAGUUAGCCGAUGAAAUGCAAGCAUUAAUCCUAUUGAGUUCAUUGCCGAAUAGUUGGGAGACUUUGGUAGUGUCACUUAGCAAUUCUACUCCGAAUGGAAAGCUCACUUUGAAAACAGUGAAGGAUUGUAUCCUCAAUGAAGAGAAGAGGAGGAAAGGGACAAGCACUUCCGAGUCUCAUGCACUUGUUACAGAAAGUCGAGGGAGAAGUCAAAGCAGGUUCUCUCACGGCAAGCAAGAUGGAGAAUCCAGCAAUAAAAAAGGCAAAUGGAAGCCAAGAGGAAGAUCUCAAUCAAGGAAGGGUUUUAAAUGUUAUUAUUGUGACAAGCCUGGGCAUAUGCAAAAAGAUUGCAGAAAGUAUAAAAGAGAUAAAAAGGGUAGAGAUGAAGACAAGAAUGAAGAGAAUGGUACAGCUGCAGUUGUAUCUGAUGGUGAUGUUGCCAUUGUGUGUGAUGAUGGCUGUGUUAAUCUUGCAUGUCAAGAUACCACCUGGGUUGCAGAUUCAGCAGCUUCUUACCAUGUUACACCCCGACAUGAUUUUUACACAUCCUACACUGCUGGUGACUUUGGUCAAGUUAGGAUGGGAAAUCAAGGGAUGGCUAGUGUUGUGGGCAUUGGAGAUAUUUGGUUGGAAACCAAUACUGGGUGCAAGUUGCUACUCAAAGAUGUUAGGCAUGUGCCUGAUAUGCGCCUACAUUUAAUCUCUACAGGUACUCUUGAUGAAGAAGGCUAUCACAGUUACUUUGGAGAUGGUAAAUGGAAGCUCUCCAGAAAUUCCCUAAUUGUUGCUAAAGGGAAGAAGAUGGGUCUCUACAUGUCACAAGCCAAGGUGAUCAAAGGGGAGGUGAAUGCAAUUGAAGAUUGCUCUACUGAUCUAUGGCAUAAGCGGCUUGGACAUUUGAGUGAGAAAGGCCUUGGCAUCCUUGCCAAGAAGAACUACUUUCCAUUGAAAGGUAUGAACUUGAACACAUAUACUCAUUGUUUAGUUGGUAAACAACAUAGAGUUGCAUUUCAAAGAUCACCUUCACAUAGAAGGUCACAUGUUCUUGAUUUAGUUCAUACUGAUGUUUGCUCUAUGAUUGAUAAAUCUCUUGGAGGUGCAUUGUACUUUGUUAGUUUUAUUGAUGAUCACUCCAGGAAGAUUUGGGCCACUUGUUUGAAAUCCAAAGAUCAGGUGCUUGAUGUCUUUAAGGAUUUCCAUGCCAGAGUUGAAAGAGAAAUUGGUAGAAAGCUGAAAUGUGUUCGAGCAGACAAUGGUGGUGAAUACAGAGGUCCUUUUGAGAAGUACUGCAGGGAACAGGGUAUCAAGUUGGAGAAGACCGUUCCUAAGACUCCACAGCAGAAUGGAGUGGCUGAGAGAAUGAACAGAACCAUUGUUGAAAGAAUUAGAUGUAUGCUCUCUCAUGCAAAGCUGCCUAAGUCCUUUUGGGGUGAGGCAAUGAAGACUGCAGUUGCCAUGAUCAACCUUUCUCCAUCAGUUCCUCUUGAGUUUGAUGUUCCAGAUAGAGUUUGGAAAGGAAAGGAUGUUUCCUAUGCACACUUAAGAGUGUUUGGAUGCAGAGCAUUUGUACAUGUUCCAAGGGAUGAAAGGUCUAAGCUUGACAGCAAGACAAAGCAGUGUAUUUUCUUGGGAUCUGAAGAUGAUGAGUUUGGCUAUAGGUUGUGGGAUCCAAAGGAGAAGAAAAUUGUAAGAAGCAGAGAUGUUAUCUUCUUUGAAGAUCAAACCAUUGAAGACUUUGAACUGAAGGAGAAAACAGAGUCUAUAACUUUUAUUCCAUCUAAUUCAAAUCCAAGACCUACUUCACAAUUACCUUUGAUGCCUGCUAAUCAUGAGGGAGAUUUGCAAAAUGAUGAUAAUGGUGGUUUUCUUGUUGAGCCAUUAGUUGGUGAUUCUGAAUCAGCUAAUGAUGAUAUUGAUGUUAUUCCUGAACAGGUUAUGCAGGAAGCUCCAGAUGAGCCACAAUUGAGGAGGUCAACCAGACCUCGCCAACCUUCCACCAAAUAUUCUCCUCAUGAGUAUGUGCUGGUUACUGACGGGGGAGAGCCAGAAUGCUUUGAUGAAGCUAUGUCACAUGAGAAGAAAAGUGAGUGGUUGAAAGCAAUGCAAGAAGAGAUGAAAUCCUUGCAUGAAAACCAUACUUUUGAGUUAGUGAAGCUUCCUAAAGGUAAGAGAGCACUCAAGAACAAAUGGGUGUUCAGGUUGAAAAUUGAUGAACAUUGCUCACAGCCAAGGUACAAGGCAAGAUUGGUUGUGAAAGGCUUCGGUCAGAAGAAGGGUAUUGAUUUUGAAGAAAUCUUUUCACCAGUGGUCAAGAUGUCUUCAAUCUGAGUUGUGCUUGGCUUAGCGGCUAGUUUGAAUCUUGAAGUUGAACAACUUGAUGUGAAAACUGCCUUUCUCCAUGGUGAUUUAGAUGAGGAAAUCUACAUGGAACAACCUGAAGGGUUUGAAGCAAAAGGUAAAGAGCAGUUAGUUUGCAAGUUGAAAAAGAGUCUAUAUGGGUUAAAGCAAGCUCCAAGACAAUGGUACAAGAAGUUUGAUUCUUUCAUGGUUGAUCAUGGUUAUGACAGGACCACUUCUGAUCAUUGUGUAUUUAUGAAAAGGUUUCCAGAUGGAAACUUUAUUAUUCUCUUGUUGUAUGUGGAUGAUAUGUUGAUUGUUGGCCAUGAUGCUAAGAAGAUUCAGAUGUUGAAGGAAGAGUUAAGCAAGUCUUUUGCAAUGAAAGACUUAGGACCAGCAAAACAGAUUCUUGGCAUGAAGAUCACACGUGACAGGAAGAACGAGAAACUUUGGCUAUCUCAGGAGAGAUAUGUUCAAAAGGUACUUGAGAGAUUCAACAUGAGCAACUCCAAACCGGUUUGUUCUCCACUUGCAAGCCACUUUAAACUAAGUUCUAAGCAGUGUCCUUCAAGUGAUGAAGAAAGAGAUGAGAUGAAAAAGGUUCCUUAUGCAUCCGCAGUUGGUAGCUUGAUGUAUGCCAUGGUUUGCACAAGGCCGGAUAUAGCUCAUGCAGUUGGUGUGGUUAGUCGAUUCCUUUCCAAUCCUGGUAAAGAACACUGGUCAGCAGUGAAAUGGAUACUCAGGUAUCUCAAAGGUACUUCUAGUUUCAGCUUAUGUUUUGGUAAUGAUAAACCUGUGUUGGAUGGAUACACAGAUGCAGAUAUGGCUGGUGAUGUUGAUUCUAGAAAGUCCACAUCAGGAUACUUGAUGAAGUUUGCAGGGGGAGCUGUCUCAUGGCAAUCAAGGUUGCAAAAAUGUGUGGCAUUAUCCACUACAGAGGCUGAAUAUAUUGCUCUUACUUAAGGGGGCAAAGAGUUGUUAUGGAUGAAGAAGUUCCUACAUGAACUUGGCCUAGUUCAAGAGAACUUUGUGUUGCACUGUGAUAGUCAAAGUGCAAUCCAUCUCAGUAAGCAUCCUACUUUUCACUCUCGAUCAAAGCACAUUGAGGUUAGAUAUCAAUGGAUUCGAGAUGCUAUGGAGAUGAAGUCAUUUGUUGUUGAGAAGAUCCAUACCGAUAACAACGUAUCAGACAUGAUGACCAAACCUCUACCGAGAGAGAAGUUUGAGUUUUGCAGAAGGGAGGCAGGCUUGUCAGAGCCUUCUAAAUUAAAGCUUACAUGUUGAUCGCCAGUAUGGCGAAUUCCUCACAUGGUGCGUGAGGGGGAGAUUUGUUGUGUGGUCCCGCACCAUGUGAUGGGGGGACCACCACAUUAAUUACACAUUAAUUAAGGAGGCAGCUGGCUGCCUCUUUGAUUUAAAAUGAAAACUGCCACUGUAGAGGCAGUAGCGAAGAACAAGAGAGCAGAGAAAAACCAAGAGAAAGAAAGAAGAGGAGGCAGCAGAGCAGUCUGUCUUCUUUCUUCGAUUUCCAGUUCGUUCACCGUUGGAUCGGGCUGAGAUUUGGACAGCAGCUUCUAGACACGUUACUCUUCAUUCUGAACGGUUGGAUUGAAGAUUGGUGGUGUGGAAGCUGGUCGUUUUGACAGAAAACGGGGCUGUCAGUGUUGUGAGCUUUUCUCUAACAUUACUCUCUUUAAUCUUGUUGUAAUCCGAGAAUAAGUUGUUCUUGAUGAUAUAUUUGUUGUAGCCCUUAGUUGAAUCUGAGGAAGAACAAUUGUGAACCUAUUAUUUGUGAUAGUGGAAGUUUUUAGGUGGACUCCGGUCCCGUGGUUUUUCCCGCAUCGGGUUUUCCACGUAAAAAUCUUGGCGUUGAUUUGUGUGAUUGUUGCAUUAUAUUUGUUCAUUGUUUGAUUCUGUUUUUACUGCACAAAGAGGG